rnacentral:tRNA from 1 species
UCCCAGGUGGCUCAGUGGUAAAGAAUCUGCCUGCCAUGCAGGAGACACAGGUUCUAUUCCUAUGUUGGCAA